AUUGGUUGACAAGAAAGAACAUGUUCUGUCAUUUGUCUGUUCUUUGAAUUGUCUCUAAUGAAAUUUAAUAAUACAUUGCCAAGAGGCAUAGUUCUAAGUGAUAUCGCCAAGUCUAUUGUCUCAUUAUGAAUGCACUGGAUUCUUCGUGCAGAAACAAUGACGUUAUAACUCUCCUAGAACAAAAUAUAGGUAAAGAAAAAAAAAUACUUCCUCAGGGUUAAUUUUCAUAAACAAUUGAAUAUGAAACUGAAAUAUUCCUUGUAACUCUUUUCAUUGCUUAGAGAUAAGCUAAUAGACAUAACUAGAAGGUCGUGAAAGUUUCAGUUCUGAUUUUUGAAGAAAAUGCAGAAACCAACAGAUUCAAAACGAAUGCUUUUUGAUGGAAAAGAUGGAUAUGAUGUUGUUCUUGUAGGGGUCUUGAUAUGGUGGUUCUGUUGCCGCUUGUUGGUUGCCAAUGGCAGGAGUCAAGAUAUGCCUGGUUUGGAGGGGCUGAAUAUUGGAAACUAAUUGGUAUUUUUUCCAGCAGACAGUUUCAGCAUGAAUUAACUGAGAGGAUGGAGAAUCAGAAGCUUAGGUGUCACUUGGUCAACCUGCUAGGUUUGUCCCAAAGGGUGCUUUGUUCCAGUUACUUUACAGAGGCUGGGAUUGGCCUGACGUUGUCAUCAACCACCCCAUGCGUGGCAAGGUUGCAUUACAAUUUGCAAAAGAGUUGUGCAGAUAGAGAUUGUGGUGAAAAUGUCAAACUUCUCAAACAGAAGAAGGAUCUGCAGGGAAUAUUUCAGUUUAUGUUCUUGCAGUUCAGGCCACUGGAUUCAUGUGGACAAUCUUAAGUGCCUUAUUGAGAUUGUGGCACCCAAGCUGAAGUCUCUUAAUGUCUUAAGUGGCUUUUGUGGCAUACUGUGAUGCAGGGAAAGUACCGAAACGCCUGUGAUUUGGAGAUGAAUGAUAAAACCAGGGCAAUUUACUUUCGCACCUCCAGAUGACUCUUUCCUUUCCAGCCUUGUAAGCAAGCUCAAUGAUGCAUGUAAUGGCAGCCACAGAAGACAUUAACAUGGCAAUCAAAGCAUAUCGGGGCUUGUUUGCAGAGUAAAGCUACUCGAAAGCUGCUGACAGAAGCUCGGUAAGAAUAUUGAUUAUGAGAAACAUCCAUUCUGGGAUGCUAACCUAUGAAAUAAGUCAAGAAGGUAUCAUAUUUAGUAAACUUUUUAGUCAAAUCUUUCUAGAAAUUGAAUAUAAAAAGAGUUGUUGAAUGUAUUUCUCUUAUGUGUUGACUUCUAGUAUUACUUGUGCUUUUCGUACAAAUGGGGCUGCAAUCUGAGUACAGCUGAAAGGUUACAAUGUAAGUUUAAAUCCCAAACCUGCAAAAUGCCAUCUUUUAACCAACUGUACUAAGCGCUCGGUUCAACUCUAGAAUUACUUUGUUCACCUUUCGAGUUGAACUACCUUUGACAGGUUACGCCACUUGAUUAUGAAAUGAAGCAUCUAAUAAUGGGACAAUCUGUCUGUAGGCGCCAUAUAUUAGAUAUUCUAUUACCUUAGCUUCAGAAAUUUCUCCAUCAUCCAUGGUGGUUAUGAAACUUUGGUCCAUCCCAGCUUCAGGAAAAGGAGUAUCCGCUUCAUCUUCAUCUAUAUAAGCUUCAAAAAUAUCUCCUUCAUAAUCUGUGAUGUCAAUCAAACGUUCUGCUGGCCAAUAGUCUUCCACCCAAGCUUCUUCAUCAGAUGAGAUGUCCAUAAAAUAUGUUGUCCUUGCAAGCUUCAAAAACGCAGGUCUCAAAGUAUCCAGCUAAAGGGAAGAAAAUGAAGGGUCCAAUGUUUGAUGACUUAAGCCAGAAGUGCUUUUUUUAAGCACUACUAAAUAGGCCCUUAACCAGCUAAAGCAGUGGAGUGGCUGAACUUCGAUGAUAAGAAAUGCUACUUGUACUCGAAUAGGUAAGUCGAGUGAGUGAUCAUGGGAAGAUUGGGAUAUAAGUUUUGAAUGAGGGCUUUCCAUAACUUGCAAAGAAGCUCUCAUAAAACGAUUGCUUGGUGGAUAAUCUAUUGUGUCGAAAAGAAAAGAAAAGAAAAAGUAUUUUUAA